GACGAACGCUGGCGGCGUGCUUAACACAUGCCAGUCGAACGGAAAGGCCCUGCUUUUGUGGGGUGCUCGAGUGGCGAACGGGUGAGUAACACGUGAGUAACCUGCCCUUGACUUUGGGAUAACUUCAGGAAACUGGGGCUAAUACUGGAUAGGAGCUCCUGCUGCAUGGUGGGGGUUGGAAAGUUUCGGCGGUUGGGGAUGGACUCGCGGCUUAUCAGCUUGUUGGUGGGGUAGUGGCUUACCAAGGCUUUGACGGGUAGCCGGCCUGAGAGGGUGACCGGCCACAUUGGGACUGAGAUACGGCCCAGACUCCUACGGGAGGCAGCAGUGGGGAAUAUUGCACAAUGGGCGGAAGCCUGAUGCAGCAACGCCGCGUGCGGGAUGACGGCCUUCGGGUUGUAAACCGCUUUCGCCUGUGACGAAGCGUGAGUGACGGUAAUGGGUAAAGAAGCACCGGCUAACUACGUG
rnacentral:rRNA from 1 species